CAUGUUAUAAAUCUGUGCAAAUAACUUGUGUAUAAUAUUUUAUAAUAAAAUAAUAUCUGAGUACCUAACGUAAAAUAAUAUUUAUCGCUGAUAUAUUUAGGCAAAUUAAUAUAUUAAUGUACAAGCUAGUCUUCAUAAAAUUUAUUGUUCUAUACGGAUAGCGUUUAUGUCUUGUUGUACCUAUAACAAUUAUAAGUCAUAAGCAUUUUUUCAUAGUACAUCAUGGUAAACAGAUCGCCAUCAAGAAAUAUGAAAAUUUGAUGACAUUUAUUGCAGGUUUAUGUUUAAAGUAUCAACAAACGUCAAAAAUAAGAGUUUGACGCGCGCGUCUAUAGCGUCGCAUUACUUCCGAAUGGAAGAGCCCUUAUGUUAUUUAUCAAAUGGGUAUAAAAGUGGGAGCAGCGUGGAGCGUACUCGUUUCCAUUUGUCUGGUUGAUAUUACUAAUGUGGCGACAGAAUAUACUGACCAGGAUCUGCUGCAGCAAGCGUUGCUUCUCGUUGAUCUCUUAAAAGCUGAAUAUUCUCGAGUCCAAAAAGAAAAUAUAAUACUCCGCAUCAAGCUUGGUCACUGCAGAAAUUACUCGUACCAGACAGCGAACCGUGUACCAAACAGGCGUCAGUUAGAUUACGAGGAUGGAUUUGGAGAACAUCCCAACUCAACUCUCUCAACAGCAACGGAUUCCUCAAAAGCUACGACCAAAAUUACAUCGACGGUAGCAACUACAGCAACAUCAACACCAGCAAAAGCAUCCACGCCUUCAACAAAACCUUUUCUAUCAUCGUUUACACCGCCUACAUCAUUAUCAACGACUAUAUUAACACCUCCUAAUACCCAGUCCUCGAAAUCUGCAUCAAAUCCUCAGGAGAAAGUACAGACUUCAAAAAGUACAGGCACAAAAGUAAAAUUAAGAUGGUCAAAAACUUCGAGCCCCACAAACACAGAGAAGUAUAGGACAGUGGCUAUAUCAUCAGCAACAGAAAAUCCAAGAUCAAGGGAUCCAGUAAUGGAACAGGUAGCUUCAGAGAUUGUAAACGAGGU